AUACGGAGGGUGCGAGCGUUAAUCGGAAUUACGGGGCGUAAAGGGUGCGUAGGCGGCUUGAUAAGUCGGAUGUGAAAGCCCCGGGCUUAACCUGGGAAUUGCAUUCGAUACUGUCGGGCUAGAGUAUGUCAGAGGUUGGCGGAAUUCCUGGUGUAGCGGUGAAAUGCGUAGAUAUCAGGAGGAACACCAGUGGCGAAGGCGGCUAACUGGGACAAUACUGACGCUGAGGCACGAAAGCGUGGGGAGCAAACAGGAUUAGAAACCCUAGUAGUCC
rnacentral:rRNA from 1 species